rnacentral:rRNA from 1 species
GACGUAGGGUCCAAGCGUUAUCCGGAUUUACUGGGCGUAAAGCGCGCGUAGGCGGUCUGUUAAGUGCACAGGUGAAAGCUCCGGGCUCAACUCGGAAAUUGCUUUGCAUACUGGCAGGCUGGAGGGACGCAGAGGUCUGUGGAAUUCCUGGUGUAACGGUGAAAUGUGUUGAUAUCAGGAGGAACACCCAUGGCGAAGGCAGGUCUCUGGGCAUUAACUGACGCUGAGGAGCGAAAGCAUGGGGAGCGAACAGG